CUUCAGUGAUGAUACGAUGACGAGUCGGAAAAUGACCCUUCUGUCUGAGGAUUCUGGGUCAGAUCCACGUUCUGUGUGUCUGGCUGCAGGUCCUCAAGGCAGAGAGUCCUUUUUGCUUGAAGACAUAGAGGCAUUUGUCUGAGAGGG